UCAAUACUGCGGAACUUGAGGGCGGCAGAGGGAGGCGGAAUUCCCGGUGUAGCGGAGACAUGCGUAGAUAUCGGGAGGAACACCAGUAGCGAAGGCGGGCUCCAUGGCUGCUCCUGACGCUGAAGGCGAAAGCUAGGGGAGCGAACGGGAUUAGAAACCCCGGUAGUCCUAGCCGUAAACGAUGGAUGCUGGGUUUGGGGGCUAUAGAUUCCCUCCGUGCCGAAGCUAACGCGUUAAGCAUCCCGCCUGGGGACUACGGCCGCAAGGCUUAAACUCAAACGAAUUGACGGGUCCCCGCACAAGCAGCGGAGCGUGUGGUUUAAUUCGAUGCUACACGAAGAACCUUACCUGGGUUUGACAUGCAAGUAGUAGUGAAGCGAAAGCGGAACGACCCUUCGGGGAGCUUGCACAGGUGCUGCAUGGCUGUCGUCAGCUCGUGCCGUGAGGUGUCGGGUUAAGUCCCGUAACGAGCGCAACCCUUGCCCUUAGUUAUACGUGUCUAAGGGGACUGCCCGGGACAACUGGGAGGAAGCUGGGGAUGACGUCAAGUCAGCAUGGCCUUUAUAUCCAGGGCGACACACACGCUACAAUGGCCGGUACAAUGGGUUGCCAAGCCGUGAGGCGGAGCCAAUCCCGCAAAGCCGGUCUAAGUUCGGAUUGUGGGCUGCAACUCGCCCACAUGAAGCUGGAGUUGCUA
rnacentral:rRNA from 1 species